rnacentral:rRNA from 1 species
UCUGACCGUGCAAAGGUAGCGUAAUCACUUGUUCUUUAAAUGAGGACUAGUAUGAACGGCAUCACGAGGGUUAUGCUGUCUCCCCAUUCUAUUCAGUGAAACUGAUCUCUCCGUGAAGAAGCGGAGAUAAAAAUAUAAGACGAGAAGACCCCAUGGAGCUUUAAACUCAAAAUCAAUUGCUUUAAAUAAUUAACCUAAUAUUUAUGCAACUCUGAUUUCUAGUUUUCGGUUGGGGUGACCACGGAGUAUAGACAAACCUCCAUGAUGAAAGGAACUAAUAACCUAAAUCAAGAGCUACAGCUCUAAAUAUCAACAAACUGACUAAAUUGAUCCAAUUACUUGAUCAACGAACCAAGUUACCCUGGGGAUAACAGCGCAAUCCAUUUCAAGAGCUCAUAUCGACAAAUGGGUUUACGACCUCGAUGUUGGAUCAGGGUAUCCCAGUGGCGCAGCCGCUACUAACGGUUCGUUUGUUCAACGAUUAAAACCUUACGUGAUCUGAGUUACCGGGAGAG